AGCAUAUCAAUAAGCGGAGGAAAAGAAACCAACAGGGAUUGCCUCAGUAACGGCGAGNGAAGCGGCAAGAGCUCAAAUUUGAAAGCUGGCUCCUUCGGGGUCCGCAUUGUAAUUUGCAGAGGAUGCUUCGGGAGCGGCCCCCAUCUAAGUGCCCUGGAACGGGCCGUCAUAGAGGGUGAGAAUCCCGUAUGGGAUGGGGUGCCCGCGACCAUGUGAAGCUCCUUNGACGAGUCGAGUUGUUUGGGAAUGCAGCUCUAAAUGGGUGGUAAAUUUCAUCUAAAGCUAAAUAUUGGCCGGAGACCGAUAGCGCACAAGUAGAGUGAUCGAAAGAUGAAAAGCACUUUGAAAAGAGAGUUAAAAAGCACGUGAAAUUGUUGAAAGGGAAGCGCUUGCGACCAGACUCGCCCGCGGGGUUCAGCCGGUAUUCGUACCGGUGUACUUCCCCGUGGGCGGGCCAGCGUCGGUUUGGGCGGCCGGUCAAAGGCCCUCGGAAUGUAACGCCUCUCGGGGCGUCUUAUAGCCGAGGGUGCCAUGCGGCCAGCCCGGACCGAGGAACGCGCUUCGGCACGGACGC
rnacentral:rRNA from 1 species